rnacentral:rRNA from 1 species
GGUUCAGGACGAACGCUGGCGGCGUGCUUAACACAUGCAAGUCGAACGGGAGUAUUGAAGAAGCUUGCUUAGAGAUACUUUAGUGGCGGACGGGUGAGUAACGCGUGAGGAGCUGUCCUAUGCAGGGGGACAACAGCUGGAAACGGCUGCUAAUACCCCAUAAGCCGAGAGGUAAAAGGAUCAAUCCGGCAGAGGAGGUACUCGCGUCCUAUCAGCUAGUAGGUGAGGUAACGGCUCACCUAGGCGAAGACGGGUAGCCGGCCUGAGAGGGCGAACGGCCACACUGGAACUGAGAUACGGUCCAGACUCCUACGGGAGGCAGCAGUGGGGAAUAUUGGGCAAUGGGGGAAACCCUGACCCAGCGACGCCGCGUGGGUGAAGGAAUCCUUCGGGAUGUAAAGCCCUGUUGUAUGGGAAGAGCGGAAGACGGUACCAUACGAGGAAGCCCCGGCAAACUACGUGCCAGCCGCCGC